UCGACUGCAUGAAGUCGGAAUCGCUAGUAAUCGCAGAUCAGCAAAGCUGCGGUGAAUACGUUCCCGGGCCUUGUACACACCGCCCGUCACACCACGGGAGUCGGUCGCGCCUGAAGCCGGUGGCCUAUCAGUAAUGGGGGAGCCGUCUAUGGCGAGAUUGGUAACUGGGGUGAAGUCGUAACAAGGUACC
rnacentral:rRNA from 1 species